AUUGAACGCUGGGGGCAUGCCUUACACAUGCAAGUCGAACGGUAACGGGCCUUCGGGUGCCGACGAGUGGCGAACGGGUGAGUAAUACAUCGGAACGUGCCCGAUCGUGGGGGAUAACGAGGCGAAAGCUUUGCUAAUACCGCAUACGAUCUACGGAUGAAAGCAGGGGACCGCAAGGCCUUGCGCGGACGGAGCGGCCGAUGGCAGAUUAGGUAGUUGGUGGGAUAAAAGCUUACCAAGCCGACGAUCUGUAGCUGGUCUGAGAGGAUGAUCAGCCACACUGGGACUGAGACACGGCCCAGACUCCUACGGGAGGCAGCAGUGGGGAAUUUUGGACAAUGGGCGCAAGCCUGAUCCAGCCAUGCCGCGUGCAGGAUGAAGGCCUUCGGGUUGUAAACUGCUUUUGUACGGAACGAAAAGCCUUCUUUUAAUACAGGAGGGUCAUGACGGUACCGUAAGAAUAAGCACCGGCUAACUACGUG
rnacentral:rRNA from 1 species